rnacentral:rRNA from 1 species
UGCCACAGCCAUAUCACCCUGCAGCCCAAGACUGGUUACACUGAAGCCUGGCCUGUACCUGGAUGGGAGACCACAUGGGAAAACUAGGUUGCUGUUGUAA